rnacentral:misc_RNA from 1 species
CAACCCUCAAGCCCCCCCGGGAGCUUGGUGUUGGGGAUCGGCCCGCCCCUAGCGGCGCGCCGGCCCCGAAAUCUAGUGGCGGUCUCGCUGUAGCUUCCUCUGCGUAGUAGCACACCUCGCACCGGAACGCGGCGCGGCCACGCCGUUAAACCCCCCACUUCUGAAGG